rnacentral:rRNA from 1 species
GACAGAGGGGGCAAGCGUUGCUCGGAAUUACUGGGCGUAAAGGGCGCGUAGGCGGGAUGGCAAGUCAGUCGUGAAAUCUCUCGGCUCAACCGAGAAACGUCGGCUGAUACUGCCGUUCUUGAGGGAUGCAGAGGAGACUGGAAUUCCCGGUGUAGCGGUGAAAUGUGUAGAGAUCGGGAGGAACACCGGUGGCGAAGGCGGGUCUCUGGGCAUCUCCUGACGCUGAGG